UAUCUAUAAAUAGUUUAUGUGUAUUAUCUAUGGAAUGUGCUUCGAUGACACUUCCUCUACCGAAGCACACCACCCGAAGUGAGUCGAUAUUUGACGAGUAGUUGCGGCUUACAUCCACUAUAGUAGAAUUAUUUUCUUGGUGCAGUUUGGGUCAUAAAACAUAGCCCGGCUAGGGCGGCGAGCAUGUUGCGCGGGCGCAACGCCAUUAUCGAUAAAAACAAAUGAGUCAUCGAAGGCAGGUACACGGCGGCGGGGCGGUAUACGAAGAAGGUGGUGAGAGAUUGUUAUUUUAUGAGUCAUUUGUUGUACUUACUUGCAAAUUAUAGUACAUAUGUCGAAGCGAAAUGUGUUUUUAUGCAUUCGCUCUCUGUAUUUCUUUCGUAACACAAUGGCUACUCCUUUGUUUUAUACCAUAACGGCAGAAUUUAUUCAAAAUAAUAUUUGCAGUGUUGUUAUCAACAAUGUGUUAAAUUUUUUAACUGAAAUGAAAAUAGAUCCCGAAAAGUUACAAAGUGUUUAAUUUCUGCCGUUCUCGUUAACAUGCUGCGGCGAUAUGUGGUGCAAACGAGCAUACGGCACACCUGAUGGUGAAAGCAAUGCCAGGCGGAGAGCCAAGACGCUGCCUAACGUAGAACAAAGGCCGACUCGAUAAACAACUGUGAUGUCCGCUUGGUAUGAUAAUGGUACGUUCCGAAUAACAGUAUUCUCUAUGGUUUUCACAAUUGGUAUACAUAAUUAGUAUUUCACGUACGAUUUAAUCUCGUCCAAACAGUCGUCCGUGACAACGGACACUAAUACAUUAUUCUUCUUCUUCUUCUUAAUUUUUUGGCUCCCGCACGGUUUGUGCAUUAGCCAGCGUCAAGUAAUAAGAUUUUUAUAAUUCGUACAAGUAAUACUAUUUCUAUAAUUCAACGUUUUAAUUAUUUACAGUUUAUGAAUAAUAGAAAAUGAAGCAAACUUAAUCAAUUGGCAUGAAAUUAAAUGAGAUGAUAUGGGAUGAAAUAUAAUCUCAGUAAAAUCAUUUACUGAGACUUUUUCAGUGGACUUAUUGGAGGAUACCGAGAAGUUAGGUUCAGCAGCACUUUGACAGAUACUAAACAGUUAAAAAACCACCGUUAUUACACAUUUAAGCAUGAAGAAACACUAAAUAGACAAAAUAAAACAAAUCACACAACUUCACUCAUCGCGUUCCCAUCAAAAAGUCUACUAAUACAUUCAAAACGUCCAAACGAAUAUAUUGACCUUUAAAUUAUAAUAACAGUCGUAGGUAAUUAUUUCGUAAAGUGAAUUCAAUUUGUAUUGAAUUAUUUUCACAUAUACCUUGUUAGUAAUGGGAAACGUUAACAAAAUUUUCCUUUUUAUUGCUUAGAUGGGUGGACGUGCUCACGGUCCAACUAGUGUUAAGACAUUUACAACAUAAACGCCGCCACCUACCUUGAGAUAUGAGUUCUUUAGUCUCAGUUUUUACAAUACAGUACAGUACAGUUUUAAAAUACAGUGUAUUCGUUUGGAUACCUUUCAGAGCCGAGAGACAACGUGAGAAAACGGCUUCACCGAUUAGCGUCACAGGUACUCCGUAUUCCAGGGCGCUGAUGCCCGUCCAUUUUCCGGUACCCUUCUGUCCGGCCGUAUCUCGAAUUUUGGGUAGCAAAUAUUUACCUAUACAGAAAAAAAAAAUUAUUAAAAAAAAAUAUAAAAAAAAAACUUACAACCACUUUUCUAUUUCUUUAUCAUUUCAAACGUGUUCUCAUUGUAUUAUGUCGUCGGUCAAAUUAUUAUAGAUUUAUCGUGUCAUAGUUAUCGCAUGCCUGUUACAUGCAACAUAAAAAGUUUAUCUCGUUUACGUGAAUCUUUUGGCACCAACAUCAAAAUAAUAAAACGAUAAAGAUAACAUUGAAAAUAAAAUGAUCUCUUCGUUAGAUUACAUUAAAAAUAAUAAUACUUAAAUUGUCACAAUAAGCAAGAAAAGUUUGGAAUCCUUAAUUUCUAAGAAUCCUUAAUUUCUAUACUUUUUUUUAAUUGUAUUUAACACUUACCGUCUGAGUCUUUGUAUUUCAAAAUAUCCCUUGUGAUUUCGAUCAAGAAUGAAUCUAGUUCGCCUUUGUUCCACUCGUCGAAUACUUUAGCCAUUUCAUCUUGUUCAAUACCUUUUCGUGGAAAAUAUAACUCAUAUUAUUUAUAAUAAUAAUAAUACAUAAUUAAAUCAUAUUAUAGUCAUAUGACAAUCGUGUACAUAUAUAUUUUUUUUAUUGCUUAGAUGUGUGGACGAGCUCACAGCCCACCUGGUGUUAAGUGGUUACUGGAGCCCAUAGACAUCUACAACGUAGACGCGCCACCCACCUUGAGAUACAAGUUCUAAAGUCUCAGUAUAGUUACAACGGCUGGCCCACCCUUCAAACCGAAACGCAUUACUGCUUCACGGCAGAAAUAAGCAGGGCGGUGGUACCUACCCGCGCGGACUCACAAGUGGUCCUACCACCAGUAAUGUAACAUGUAACUAAAAGCUGUGGACAUCGCGUACAUACAUGUAAAUUAAAGCUGUGGUUAUUCAACUGGUAAUGGAACUGAUUGUGAUAAUUCAUUUUUUUGUAAUAAAUUCUACUCAGCCUUAAAAACGAACGACUUUAUUAUUAUAAAAGAUGUAUAUUAAAUUAGGGUAGUUUAAUUAUAAUUUUCUUACCUAUCACAUCUUUCAUAAGAUGAUAAGCUUCGCAGAUAAGUUGCAUAUCACCAUAUUCAAUUCCAUUGUGCACCAUUUUGACAAAAUGGCCUGCUCCAUCUUCACCGACCCAGUCACAGCACGGUUCAUCAUUAGCUUUAGCGCAUAUGGCCUAAAGAACACAAUAUAUUUUGAUUACUAAACCUAACCAACACUAAUAUGCUUCAAAGUGAAAAAAGAUGAUUUGAAAAUAUAUAUAUAAAAAAAAACAAUCAUUUGAUAACAAACUCCUAAAACAGUUUAGAUGCACAAAAAUGUUUUUAAAAUACUGUUAGUGUGCAAUUUAAGCAACAUUUCGACUAGCAAGAAAUUUUAUGGAUACACUAUAUUUGAAUAUAAGUGAUUAUUAAUAUUAUGUUAUAAUAUAAGUGAUAAUUAUUGAUAUAUUUAUUAUUCCAUUAAAAAAGCUAACCUUGAAUACUAUAAAAGAGAAAAUUGUAAAUAAUGUACAAGUAGUUGUAAAUGUUGUAAAUGUUCAACAGAAUAAUAUUUUGUAUAAUGACGUCUACGUUUGAAAGUACGAUAUAAUAUUUACUUCCCUAUUAUCCAUCACAGUAGUAUCGUUGCCUUAUUUUCCGGUCUACUCUAUUUUUAUCAACCCUAAUUUUAUUGUUCCGUACGAUAUUUGAGAUUUAAACCCAAAGUAUGGGGAUGAGGAUUGGUGUUCGCGAUGUAAUAAUGUAUGCGCAGCAUUAUUAACGUAAAGCCAGUUAAUAGAAAUCGUCUUUCUUUUCGAUCGGUUGUUAAUGGUUAAAACAACAACUGCGACUGAAAAUUUUAAAGUACUGUCAUGGUGAUAUUAGAUCUAACCCUUUAGCUACGUGCCUCAGCCAUAGACGAAUUAGUGAAUUAUUGCAUUGAGUAUUUGCCUUGUUUUAGUCAAAUCGAAAGACGUGGGCAUCCGACCGCGUCGAAAUGUUCAUUAAUUAGGAGAGAGCCUGAUUGCAUACUAUAAUGUAAGCUGAUAACUAUUUAUGACAUACUCACUUGGAAAAUUUCUUUUAUAUGCGGCCAUGCAGCAGGAUGCCCACCAGGCAUCAAAGAUGGUCCAUAUCGUGCACCAUCUUCACCUCCACUUACCUGGUACAAAAGAUUUAUUUCAAUGUAAGCUAACUCAGAUUAUAAACUGAGCUUAAUAAUUUUAUUGGUUAAUUUUACUUACACCCAUUCCAACAUAAAGUAUUCCUGUCCCUGACAACUCUUUACACCAUUUCUGUGUGUCUAAGUAUUGUGAAUUACCACCAUCAAUUAUAAUAUCACCUUUGCUUAAAAGUGGUAUUAGCUUUUUCACAAACUCGUCAACAGCAAAUCCAGCUGAAAUAUUUAUUAAUUUUGUUCCAAUUGCAUUCUUUAAAUACUACAACUGUAGAAAGCUAGUAAAAAUAAUUUAAAAGGAAUUUAUAAUAUACACAAUCAAACAUUAAGCACAAGAGUUAUACAGUCCUUAAUGGUUGUCAUGAGUCAGUUUCAGUAUAUCCCAAACUAAGCUAAAAAACUUGUAUUUUAAAUAUCAGAGUACAGUUUGAAAGUUCAUUGUAAUAGCCAUCUGUGAUACAAGUAUGUGUGUAUUUAUAUGAAAGUGUUUUGGGUCCAUUGCAUUUCGUUAAUGCUGAUUUUUGUUGUUUUUGGUGUGAGAGUGUAAGUGUAUCAUAAUGAAAAGGUGACACCUGAAUGAGUCAUCUUUAUUGACCUUUUUAUUUACAUUACUCUCAUUACAAAACCAUACAAAAAUACAUGAUAACUGAGACAGGAAUAUUUUUUUCAGCUUCAGCUAUUAUUCUGUAAACUGAUAUGAAUAAAUAAUAUACUAAUAGAAAAAUAAAACCCUGUGUAAGUCACGUCAGAACACAAGUCAGAUGUUGGAGUAUAAUGAACAUUACAGUAUCAGUUUUUAAUUCUUACACACAUUAACAAAAUUUUCUAUAUCCUAGAAUUAUAAAGUUAUUCGAUGUCUAUGCUUUUCAUAUACAUACCAUAGUUCUAAGUUAACUAAAACAUAAUUUGUGUAGAAUGAUUAAAAGCUCUUAAUUCCAAAAGUAUUAAAUUCUUGACUUAUU